CCUACGGGUGGCAGCAGUCGAGAAUCAUUCACAAUGGGGGAAACCCUGAUGGUGCGACGCCGCGUGGGGGAAUGAAGGUCUUCGGAUUGUAAACCCCUGUCAUGUGGGAGCAAAUUAAAAAGAUAGUACCACAAGAGGAAGAGAUGGCUAACUAUGUGCCAGCAGCCGCGGUAAUACAGAGGUCUCAAGCGUUGUUCGGAAUGACUGGGUGUAAAGUGUGCGUAGGAUGUUUGGUAAGUCGUGUGUGAAAGGCGCGGGCUCAACCCGCGGACUGCAAAUGAUACUGGGAGCCUAGAGUAAUGGAGAGGGAACCGGAAUUCUCGGUGUAGCAGUGAAAUGCGUAGAUAUCGAGAAGAACACUCGUGGCGAAGGCGGGUUCCUGGACAUUAACUGACGCUGAGGCACGAAGGCCAGGGGAGCGAAAGGGAUUAGAUACCCCAGUAGUC
rnacentral:rRNA from 1 species